rnacentral:rRNA from 1 species
GACGAACCGUGCAAACGUUAUUCGGAAUUACUGGGCGUAAAGGGCUCGUAGGCGGCCAACUAAGUCAGACGUGAAAUCCCUCGGCUUAACCGGGGAACUGCGUCUGAUACUGGAUGGCUUGAGUUUGGGAGAGGGAUGCGGAAUUCCAGGUGUAGCGGUGAAAUGCGUAGAUAUCUGGAGGAACACCGGUGGCGAAGGCGGCAUCCUGGACCAACACUGACGCUGAGUGAGCGAAAGCCAGGGGAGCAAACGGG